rnacentral:rRNA from 1 species
UACGUAGGGGGCAAGCGUUGUCCGGAUUUAUUGGGCGUAAAGAGCGGGUAGGCGGCCGCACAGGUCCGUUGUGAAAACUGGAGGCUUAACCUUCAGACGUCGAUGGAAACCGUGCGGCUAGAGUCCGGAAGAGGAGAAUGGAAUUCCUGGUGUAGCGGUGAAAUGCGCAGAUAUCAGGAGGAACACCAGAGGCGAAGGCGGUUCUCUGGGCAUUACCUGACGCUGAGGAGCGAAAGUGUGGGGAGCGAACAGG